rnacentral:rRNA from 1 species
UUGAGGGGGGCUGCUCCUAGUACGAGAGGACCGGAGUGGACGCAUCACUGGUGUUCGGGUUGUCAUGCCAAUGGCACUGCCCGGUAGCUAAAUGCGGAAGAGAUAAGUGCUGAAAGCAUCUAAGCACGAAACUUGCCCCGAGAUGAGUUCUCCCUGAGACUUUAAGUCUCCUGAAGGAACGUUAAAGACGAUGACGUUGAUAGGCCGGGUGUGUAAGCGCAGCGAUGCGUUGAGCUAACCGGUACUAAUGAACCGUGAGGCUUAACCUU